UACGUAGGGUGCAAGCGUUAAUCGGAAUUACUGGGCGUAAAGCGUGCGCAGGCGGUUAUGUAAGACAGAUGUGAAAUCCCCGGGCUUAACCUGGGAACUGCAUUUGUGACUGCAUGGCUAGAGUGCGGCAGAGGGGGAUGGAAUUCCGCGUGUAGCAGUGAAAUGCGUAGAUAUGCGGAGGAACACCGAUGGCGAAGGCAAUCCCCUGGGCCUGCACUGACGCUCAUGCCCGAAAGCGUGGGGAGCAAACAGG
rnacentral:rRNA from 1 species